UUUAAUUCGAAGCGACGCGCAGAACCUUACCAGCGUUUGACAUGUCCGGACGGUUUCCAGAGAUGGACUCCUUCCCUUCGGGGACUGGAACACAGGUGCUGCAUGGCUGUCGUCAGCUCGUGUCGUGAGAUGUUGGGUUAAGUCCCGCAACGAGCGCAACCCUCGCCUUUAGUUACCAUCAUUUAGUUGGGGACUCUAAAGGAACCGCCGGUGAUAAGCCGGAGGAAGGUGGGGAUGACGUCAAGUCCUCAUGGCCCUUACGCGCUGGGCUACACACGUGCUACAAUGGCGGUGACAGUGGGCAGCAAACUCGCGAGAGUGCGCUAAUCUCCAAAAGCCGUCUCAGUUCGGAUUGUUCUCUGCAACUCGAGAGCAUGAAGGCGGAAUCGCUAGUAAUCGCGGAUCAGCAUGCCG
rnacentral:rRNA from 1 species